AUUGAACGCUGGCGGCAGGCCUAACACAUGCAAGUCGAGCGGAUGAAGGGAGCUUGCUCCUGGAUUCAGCGGCGGACGGGUGAGUAAUGCCUAGGAAUCUGCCUGGUAGUGGGGGAUAACGUCCGGAAACGGGCGCUAAUACCGCAUACGUCCUGAGGGAGAAAGUGGGGGAUCUUCGGACCUCACGCUAUCAGAUGAGCCUAGGUCGGAUUAGCUAGUUGGUGGGGUAAAGGCCUACCAAGGCGACGAUCCGUAACUGGUCUGAGAGGAUGAUCAGUCACAUGGGAAGUGAGACACGGUCCAGACGCCUACGAGAGGCAGCAGUGGGGAAUAUUGGGCAGUGGGCGAAAGCCUGAUCCAGCCAUGGCACGUGUGUGAAGAAGGUCUUCGGAUUGUAAAGCACUUUAAGUUGGGAGGAAGGGCAGUAAGUUAAGACCUUGCUGUUUUGACGUUACCAACAGAAUAAGCACCGGCUAACUUCGUG
rnacentral:rRNA from 1 species